AAUGACAAAUUUAUAAAGCUCAAUUAGACCAAAGCCAAUCCAAUAGAAAAAGAUGUGUUAUUUAUUAAUUAAAACUAACUUUUUCUUUUUUGCAGAAGUAGAGAGCACACAAGGAUGAGACAUUGGAAGCCUUUGCAAGAAGGUGAUAUAUUCAAUGUUGAUAUAACAGUUUAUCUUAAUGGCUAUCUCGGCGAUUGCUCAAGUUGGUGAGGAAGCUAUUCAACUUCUGUAUAAAGUAAUGCAAGUUCUUUUUUACAGAGACGCAAGAUCUUUCCCAAAGUAUCAUCUUGCCAUUAUCACGAAAGAAAAAGAAGUUGAAAAACAAGGGCCGCUAACUUUGGAGAGCUAUUAGGGACCUGCAAUUCUAUAAAAUUUUUGUUUUCUUAUUUAAAAUAAACUUAAUAAAAAAUCUAGAGUAAAGAUCCAUUUCUUUAAUUGAAUAAAUUGAAAGAAGUUUUCAAUUAUAUAUUUAUUUGCAUUACAUGUACAAAAGACUAAGAAAAUAUUGAUUCUGGUAACCGUAUUGAUAAUCUUCAUUCUAACAGACAUAAAUUUUACCUAACUUUUAUUUUUACAUAUAAAAACACAAGAUAGUACUUGCAAGAUUAAAACGCAUAUGUGCAAAUUAAUUUAUGUAUGCUAAAAAUAAUAUAUUUCAUAGGUACUUUUUAUAUAAAAUAGCAAUAAUAUUGAUUGUACAUUAAAGUGUUAGCACUUUGCAUCCAGUAUCUGUUAUUAAAAUUGUAUGUUCAACUUGAGCUGUCCUAAAAUUAUCAAUAGUACAAGUUGUCUAUCCAUCUUCCAGAAUUUCAA